GGAACAUAGAUGUGGUCCAUAUCAAUGCAUGCUCCAAGCAGUUCCAGCAGGAAAAGGUCUGUGAUACCAUGCUGAGACAUACCAGAGAGUGCUUCUCUUUCACAAAACACAUUCACAUACUAUAAUUCUCACCCCUUGGAAGCUCAGCAAUGCCAGACUGAACGGUUCUGGGAUUACAACCUCAUCCAGAUUGCC